GACUUCAUGGCUCAAUGGAUAAGGCGCUGGUCUACGAAACCAAAGAUUCUGGGUUCAAUCCCCAGUGAAGUCG
rfam:Ipomoea nil DNA, scaffold: scaffold2647, cultivar: Tokyo-kokei standard.